GACGAACGCUUGCGGCGUGCUUAACACAUGCAAGUCGAACGGAAAGGCCCUGCUUUUGUGGGGUGCUCGAGUGGCGAACGGGUGAGUAACACGUGAGUAACCUGCCCUUGACUUUGGGAUAACUUCAGGAAACUGGGGCUAAUACCGGAUAGGAGCUCCUGCUGCAUGGUGGGGGUUGGAAAGUUUCGGCGGCUGGGGAUGGACUCGCGGCUUAUCAGCUUGUUGGUGGGGUAGUGGCUUACCAAGGCUUUGACGGGUAGCCGGCCUGAGAGGGUGACCGGCCACAUUGGGACUGAGAUACGGCCCAGACUCCUACGGGAGGCAGCAGUGGGGAAUAUUGCACAAUGGGCGGAAGCCUGAUGCAGCAACGCCGCGUGCGGGAUGACGGCCUUCGGGUUGUAAACCGCUUUCGCCUGUGACGAAGCGUGAGUGACGGUAAUGGGUAAAGAAGCACCGGCUAACUACGUGCCAGCAGCCGCGGUGAUACGUAGGGUGCGAGCGUUGUCCGGAUUUAUUGGGCGUAAAGGGCUCGUAGGUGGUUGAUCGCGUCGGAAGUGUAAUCUUGGGGCUUAACCCUGAGCGUGCUUUCGAUACGGGUUGACUUGAGGAAGGUAGGGGAGAAUGGAAUUCCUGGUGGAGCGGUGGAAUGCGCAGAUAUCAGGAGGAACACCAGUGGCGAAGGCGGUUCUCUGGGCCUUUCCUGACGCUGAGGAGCGAAAGCGUGGGGAGCGAACAGGCUUAGAUACCCUGGUAGUCCACGCUGUAAACGGUGGGUACUAGGUGUGGGGUCCAUUCCACGGGUUCCGUGCCGUAGCUAACGCUUUAAGUACCCCGCCUGGGGAGUACGGCCGCAAGGCUAAAACUCAAAGGAAUUGACGGGGCCCCGCACAAGCGGCGGAGCAUGCGGAUUAAUUCGAUGCAACGCGUAGAACCUUACCUGGGUUUGACAUGGAUCGGGAGUGCUCAGAGAUGGGUGUGCCUCUUUUGGGGUCGGUUCACAGGUGGUGCAUGGCUGUCGUCAGCUCGUGUCGUGAGAUGUUGGGUUAAGUCCCGCAACGAGCGCAACCCUUGUUCACUGUUGCCAGCACGUUAUGGUGGGGACUCAGUGGAGACCGCCGGGGUCAACUCGGAGGAAGGUGGGGAUGACGUCAAGUCAUCAUGCCCCUUAUGUCCAGGGCUUCACGCAUGCUACAAUGGCUGGUACAGAGAGUGGCGAGCCUGUGAGGGUGAGCGAAUCUCGGAAAGCCGGUCUCAGUUCGGAUUGGGGUCUGCAACUCGACCUCAUGAAGUCGGAGUCGCUAGUAAUCGCAGAUCAGCAACGCUGCGGUGAAUACGUUCCCGGGGCU
rnacentral:rRNA from 1 species